AGGUCAAAAGCAUGUUUGGGGGAUUAAGGGAAUCAGGAAAGCUUCAGAAUAAUUUAGAUGCUCCUCCUCCAUGAAAUUACAAAAACAAAAUCUCAGUGACAUAAUGAGUUCCUCUCUUCUCCGUGCCCCCAACAGCAAACUCCAAUGCACACCUCUUUUACAGCGCCGGUCACAUUUCAGUGUAGUGAUUUGUCUAUCUGACCCACCUUCUUGAAUGCCAUCUUUAUGAGGUCACAGACCUUAGUGGGGUGCAGCAGAUUUCCCUUUGCUCUAAGUGUGAAUUAGAAAAAGGACCUUCUCUGGAUGAAGGCAACUCAGAGGAAGGGGCACCUUUUCAUAAUCUGUACAAAAGUGCUAUCUGCUUGCCAUGUUCCUCUUCUGUGAAAUUUAAAAAAAAAAAAAAUCAUAGGCAAACAGUGCCUUGGGCCAGAUGCAAGGACUGGUUAUUUUAAUGUACAAGAUUCUUUUAGAGGAAGAUAAAAGCUCAGAGGAAGAUCAGGAAGAGAGAAAUGUCCAUGGUCAUUGUAGGCAGAUGAGGAGUAUGCUGGAGAAAGUAGAAAUAUUGGAGACACCUGGAAACCACAGAGUCAAGGAAAAGGCAAAGCCCAGAUUAAAGGAUGCCUCCAACAGGAGCUUAGUCCCGUGGAGUACCGGAGCCAAUGCUGCCCAGAGUGUCAGCCACAUUAUUCUUCCCAAUGGUGAUGUCUAGGAUUUGCUGUCAUGGAUCAGUGCUCUGCUGACCAGAAAGAAGGACAAUGUGAAAGGAAGAAAGAAAGAAAGAAAGAAAAAAAAAUUACUUACUAGACCAAGAAUCAAGAGAUCAGGUUCUAAUUCUAGCCCUGUUACCUGUCAGUGGGAUAAUCCAGUGUAAACCAUUUAGAGUCUACAACAGUUUCUUCCUUUUUAAAAUUCAGUAAUAGACUGUGUUUUCCCCGUGUAUCUUACAGGAUUGUUGUAAAGAUCAAACAAAUUAAUAAAUGAG
rnacentral:lncRNA from 1 species